rnacentral:rRNA from 1 species
UACGAAGGGGGGCUAGCGUUGCUCGGAAUGACUGGGCGUAAAGGGCGCGUAGGUGGCGCGGGAAGUCAACGGUGAAAGUUCGGGGCUCAACCCCUGAAUCGGCCGUCGAUACUCCCGGGCUCGAGCACUGUAGAGGCAGAUGGAAUUCCGGGUGUAGCGGUGGAAUGCGUAGAGAUCCGGAAGAACACCGGUGGCGAAGGCGGUCUGCUGGGCAGUUGCUGACACUGAGGCGCGACAGCGUGGGGAGCAAACAGG